UUGCAGAUGAUGAAUUUAUUCAUUUUAUGAGCUGAUUCUUUCCAUGAGGCUUCAUAAUCGAGCUUUUUAAAACUGAUGCAAU